UAACGGCCUGUGAUAAAAAAAAAAAGU
rnacentral:piRNA from 1 species